UCCUUUCUAGCUUAUGUGUUUGUAAAGCGUUGAUUUGAAGCGUCAAAGUAACAAUUUAUUUUGUGGUAGGAG
rnacentral:tRNA from 1 species